GGUAUUUUGACUAUACGAAGGUACUGAAAUAAGUCUUUAAUUGGGUGCUAAGGGAAUGGUUUAACAAAGAUUAACUUUCUUUAUAUAUAUAAUAGAAUUUAAUUUAAAAAUGAAAAAGUUUUUAUUUAUUUUUGGGACAAGAAGACCCUAUGAAUUUUACUUUUAAAUAUUUAAAUAAUUCCUUUAAUUGAAUUGGAUUAUUAUAAUCUUUAAAAUUGGUUGGGGUGAUUUUUAAAGAAUGAUUAUCUUUAAAGGUGUAAUAAAUUGAUCCAAAAUUUUUGAUUUUUUGAAUAAAAUACUCUAGGGAUAACAGCGUUAUUAUUUUGGAUAGUUCAUAUAGAUAAAAUAGAUUGCGACCUCGAUGUUGGAUUAAGAUUCUUUUAUAAUGAAGUAGUUAUAAAAAGAAGUUUGCUCAAC
rnacentral:rRNA from 1 species